GCCCGCGCCGGACGGGUCGAGUAACACGUGGGCAACCUGCCCUGUCAGAUUGUGUGGAUAACUCCGGGAAACCGGGGCUAAUACCGAAUAAUACUUUGAAACACAUGUUUUGAAGUUGAAAGAUGGUUCUGCUAUCGCUACAGGAUGGGCCCGCGGCGCAUUAGCUAGUUGGUGAGGUAACGGCUCACCAAGGCGACGAUGCGUAGCCGACCUGAGAGGGUGAUCGGCCACACUGGGACUGAGACACGGCCCAGACUCCUACGGGAGGCAGCAGUAGGGAAUCUUCCACAAUGGGCGAAAGCCUGAUGGAGCAACGCCGCGUGAGUGAAGAAGGUUUUCGGAUCGUAAAACUCUGUUGUAAGGGAAGAACAAGUGCCGUAGUAACUGGCGGCACCUUGACGGUACCUUAUUAGAAAGCCACGGCUAACUACGUGCCAGCAGCCGCGGUAAUACGUAGGUGGCAAGCGUUGUCCGGAAUUAUUGGGCGUAAAGCGCGCGCAGGCGGUUCUUUAAGUCUGAUGUGAAAGCCCCCGGCUCAACCGGGGAGGGUCAUUGGAAACUGGGGAACUUGAGUGCAGAAGAGGAAAGUGGAAUUCCAAGUGUAGCGGUGAAAUGCGUAGAGAUUUGGAGGAACACCAGUGGCGAAGGCGACUUUCUGGUCUGUAACUGACGCUGAGGCGCGAAAGCGUGGGGAGCAAACAGGAUUAGAUACCCUGGUAGUCCACGCCGUAAACGAUGAGUGCUAAGUGUUAGGGGGUUUCCGCCCCUUAGUGCUGCAGCUAACGCAUUAAGCACUCCGCCUGGGGAGUACGGUCGCAAGACUGAAACUCAAAGGAAUUUGACGGGGGCCCGCACAAGCGGUGGAGCAUGUGGUUAAUUUCGAAGCAACGCGAGAACCUUACCAGGUCUGACAUCCCGUUGGACCACUAUGGAAGAACAUGGUUUUCCUUCGGGGAACAAUGUGACAGGUGGUGCAUGGCUGUCGUCAGCUCGUGUCGUGGAGAUGUGCGUUAAGUUCCGCACGAGGCGCAACCUUGAUCCUAAGUGCCAUCAUUAGUGGCCUCUAGGUGACUGCGGUGAUAACCGAGGAGUGGAUGACGUCAAUUCAUCAUGCCUUAGACCUGGUUAACACGUGCUACAAUGACGUUACAACGUUUGCCAACCUCCGCUAG
rnacentral:rRNA from 2 species